rnacentral:rRNA from 1 species
UACGUAGGGGGCAAGCGUUGUCCGGAUUUAUUGGGCGUAAAGAGCGUGUAGGCGGCCAGACAGGUCCGUUGUGAAAACUCGAGGCUCAACCUCGAGACGCCGAUGGAAACCGUCUGGCUAGAGUCCGGAAGAGGAGAGUGGAAUUCCUGGUGUAGCGGUGAAAUGCGUAGAUAUCGGGAGGAACACCAGUGGCGAAGGCGACUACCUGGCCUGUUCUUGACGCUGAGGCGCGAAAGCUAGGGGAGCAAACGGG